AAGUCGAGCGAGCGGCGAACGGGUGCGUAACACGUGGGAAUCUGUCCUCGGAUGGGGAUAACCCAGCGAAAGUUGGGCUAAUACCCAAUAGGAGGAGCCUGCGACCUAUCAGCUUGUUGGUAGGGUAACGGCCUACCAAGGCAAAGACGGGUAGCUGGUCUGAGAGGAUGACCAGCCACACGGGGACUGAGACACGGCCCCGACUCCUACGGGAGGCAGCAGUGGGGAAUAUUGGGCAAUGGGGGAAACCCUGACCCAGCGACGCCGCGUGGGUGAUGAAGGCUUUCGGGUCGUAAAGCCCUGUCAAGAGGAAUGACGGUACCUCUGAAGGAAGCACCGGCCAACUCCGUGCCAGCAGCCGCGGUAAGACGGAGGGUGCAAGCGUUGCUCGGAAUCAUUGGGCGUAAAGGGUGCGUAGGCGGCUUCUUAAGUCUGACGUGAAAGCCCAGGGCUCAGCCUUGGAAGUGCGUUAGAAACUGAGAAGCUUGAGUGCCGGAGGGGAGAGUGGAAUUCCUGGUGUAGCGGUGAAAUGCGUAGAUAUCAGGAGGAGUACCGGUGGCGAAAGCGACUCUCUGGACGGCAACUGACGCUGAGGCACGAAAGCGUGGGGAGCAAACAGGAUUAGAUACCCUGGUAGUCCACGCCAUAAACGUUGGGUGCUAGACGUCGGUGUCGAAGCUAACGCAUUAA
rnacentral:rRNA from 1 species